GAGAAGUUGACAGAAGGAGUCAGGCACACAGCUCCUCAGAGCUUUUGGAAAGUACGAGCACACAGGUUUCAGAAUGGUUGAAUGGAGUAUGACAGAUGUUGGUGUAUUUGGUGAACUCUCUCCCUGCUUGAGUUUAUUGACGCCACUGAAGGAAAGAGUUGAAAACUUACGAGCAGCCUUUGGUAGUAAUGGUGAAACUACCAGGAGAACGAACCGGUUCGUGGAGAUGUUGAACAACUCCGAGCAGCUCUCUAUUCGCGCACAUACAGAGCAGCUGAGACCCACAGAGCCAAAGUCAGAACCCGACUAACGUGGGUUUAAGGGGAAGAAGAGAGUUUUUCUUAUGGAAGCAGCUCGUCCCGCACUGCCCCCGUCCCAGCUCAGAGCAGCGGCGGUCCGGAUGCAGUGAUGCCCAGCGGCCGCCAGGGGGCGCUGUGACCCCACCGACUCCCGGACCGGCGCCGCGCGGAGCGCUCGUGGAGCCGCGAGCAAACCCAAGUUGGAAAUCCUUUUUGUCUUCAGAUGUUCCGAGCCACUAUUCCAGCAAAGGAAAUGAAAAAGGGAAACUAAACGAGCUUUCUUCUCCCCCCCCUCCUCCCCCCCCGACCUCUCUCUGGUUUCUAUUUGUAAUACUUUAUUUCUACAACAAGCACAAACCACUACAAAGAC
rnacentral:lncRNA from 1 species